rnacentral:misc_RNA from 1 species
GAAUUUCUCUUUUUUGUUUCAUAUUCAGUUGUAUAGAGUGGUAUUGGUAGUUGAGACUCAGAUUUUAUAAAGAUUAACUGUAUUUGUUACUCUUAGAGCUAAGCCAACACGAGUAGUUUUGUUUUGUGAUUGAUUUCGAAUACAACAAAAGUUAGGAUCUAGUUGAGGAAGGAAGACUCCUUCUAUAGAUUGAUUUGUGGUAUAGAAGUGGCUA